rnacentral:rRNA from 1 species
UACGUAGGGACCAAGCGUUGUCCGGAAUCAUUGGGCUAAAGAGCGCGUAGGCGGCCAGAUAAGUCCGGUGUGAAAGUCAAAGGCUCAACCUUUGAAUGCCGCUGGAAACUGUCUGGCUAGAGUCCGGGAGGGGCGAGUGGAAUUCCUGGUGUAGCGGUGAAAUGCGCAGAUAUCAGGAGGAACACCAAUGCGAAGGCAGCUCGCUGG